UUGGGAUGCUCUAUAUCAGUU
ensembl:piRNA 21ur-12850 ncRNA